rnacentral:rRNA from 1 species
UACGAAGGGGGCAAGCGUUGUUCGGAUUUACUGGGCGUAAAGGGCGCGUAGGCGGAACGACAAGUCAGAGGUGAAAGCCCUGGGCUCAACCCGGGAAUUGCCUUUGGGACUGCCGUUCUAGAGUUCGGAAGAGGAUGGCGGAAUACCCAGUGUAGAGGUGAAAUUCGUAGAUAUCGGGUAGAACACCGGUGGCGAAGGCGGCCAUCUGGUCCGACACUGACGCUGAGGCGCGAAAGCGUGGGGAGCAAACAGG